GAACCAGACUCCUACGGGAGGCAGCAGUGAGGAAUAUUGGUCAAUGGCCGAGAGGCUGAACCAGCCAAGUCGCGUGAGGGAUGACGGCCCUACGGGUUGUAAACCUCUUUUGUCGGGGAGCAAAGAGAGUCACGUGUGACUCAUUGAGAGUACCCGAAGAAAAAGCAUCGGCUAACUCCGUGCCAGCAGCCGCGGUAAUACGGAAGGUCCGGGCGUUAUCCGGAUUUAUUGGGUUUAAAGGGAGCGUAGGCCGGCUUUUAAGUCAGCUGUGAAAGUCCGCGGCUCAACCGUGGAAUUGCAGUUGAAACUGGAGGCCUUGAGUGCACACAGGGAUGCCGGAAUUCAUGGUGUAGCGGUGAAAUGCUUAGAUAUCAUGAAGAACUCCGAUCGCGAAGGCAAGUGUCCGGGGUGCAACUGACGCUGAAGCACGAAGGCGUGGGUAUCGAACAGGAUUAGAUACCCGGGUAGA
rnacentral:rRNA from 1 species